UACGGGGGGAGCAAGCGUUGUUCGGAUUUACUGGGCGUAAAGGGCGGGUAGGCGGCCACCGCAAGUCGACUGUGAAAUCUCCGGGCUUAACCCGGAAAGGUCAGCCGAUACUGCGGGGCUAGAGUGCAGAAGGGGCAACUGGAAUUCUCGGUGUAGCGGUGAAAUGCGUAGAUAUCGAGAGGAACACCUGCGGCGAAGGCGGGUUGCUGGGCUGACACUGACGCUGAGAAGCGAAAGCAUGGGGAGCGAACAGG
rnacentral:rRNA from 1 species